rnacentral:rRNA from 1 species
GACGAACGCUGGCGGCACGCCUAACACAUGCAAGUCGAACGGAGCUAUUUUAGCGGAAGCCUUCGGGCAGAAGCUGGCUUAGCUUAGUGGCGGACGGGUGAGUAACACGUGAGCAACCUGCCUUUGCGAGGGGGAUAACGUUUGGAAACGACUGCUAAUACCGCAUGACACAUUCGGGCGGCAUCGCCUGGAUGUCAAAGAUUUUAUCGCUGAAAGAUGGCCUCGCGUCUGAUUAGAUAGUUGGCGGGGUAACGGCCCACCAAGUCGACGAUCAGUAGCCGGACUGAGAGGUUGACCGGCCACAUUGGGGACUGAGAUACGGCCCAG